GUGUGUGUGUGUGUCUGUAUGUGUGUGUGUCUGUAUGUAUGUGUCUGUAUGAUACAGACACAUACAUACAGACACACACACAUACAGACAC